rnacentral:rRNA from 1 species
CCUACGGGUGGCAGCAGUGGGGAAUAUUGCACAAUGGGGGAAACUCUGAUGCAGCGACGCCGUGUGAGUGAAGACGUAUUUCGGUAUGUUAAGCUCUAUCAGCAGGGAAGAAAACGACGGUACCUGAUUAAGAAGCCCCGGCUAACUACGUGCCAGCAGCCGCGGUAAUACGUAGGGGGCCAGCGUUAUCCGGAUUUACUGGGUGUAAAGGGAGCGUAGGCGGGAUAACAAGUCUGAGGUGAAAUGCCGGGGCUUAACCCCGGAACUGCUUUGGAAACUGUGCAGCUAGAGUGCAGGAGGGGUAAGUGGAAUGCAUGGUGUAGCGGUGAAAUGCGUAGAGAUUAGGAGGAACACCAGUGGCGAAGGCGGCUUACUGGACUGUAACUGACGUUGAGGCUCGAAAGCGUGGGGAGCAAACAGGAUUAGAUACCCCAGUAGUC